rnacentral:lncRNA from 1 species
UUCGUCUGCACUGGUCUAUUACCACUAGGAAAGACUGUGUUCUUCCUACUCCAGCAGCCUUUUUCUUGAGCUCUGCAAAAUCCACAUGAAUGACUUCAA